rnacentral:rRNA from 1 species
UACAGAGGUCUCAAGCGUUGUCCGGAUUUAUUGGGCGUAAAGAGCUCGUAGGCGGCUUGUCGCGUCGACUGUGAAAACCCGUGGCUCAACCAUGUGGUCUGCAGUCGAUACGGGCAGGCUAGAAUUCGGUAGGGGAGACUGGAAUUCCUGGUGUAGCGGUGAAAUGCGCAGAUAUCAGGAGGAACACCGGUGGCGAAGGCGGGUCUCUGGGCCGAUAUUGACGCUGAGGAGCGAAAGCGUGGGGAGCGAACAGG